rnacentral:rRNA from 1 species
AGCUCCAAUAGCGUAUAUUAAAGUUGCUGCAGUUAAAAAGCUCGUAGUUGCAUUUCCGAGGCAAGGGAUUAGUCCGACCUUUGGUGGGUAUUUAAUCCUCUUGCCUCGUCCUUGAGUGGUGCUUCUUGGUAUUAAGUUAUCGAGGAGAUAGCCGCUCAUCGUUUACUGUGAGAAAAUUAGAGUGUUCAAAGCAGGCUUAUGCCGUUGAAUAUAUUAGCAUGGAAUAAUAAGAUAGGACCUCGGUACUAUUUUGUUGGUUUGAGAACCAAGGUAAUGAUGAAUAGGGACAGGUGGGGGUAUUCGUAUUCAGUUGUCAGAGGUGAAAUUCUUAGAUUUACGGAAGACGAACUACUGCGAAAGCAUUUACCAAGGAUGUUUGCA